AUUAACUUAGACUUGGGAAGAGAAUUAGGAAAAUCCAAACAAGACUUAACUCAAGUCAACAAAAGAGGUAAAUAAGGAGAGAUAGUGGUUGGUUCAGAGACACCUUGAGAGAGAGCCUUAAGAGUAGAAGGAAGAUAGAGGAAGAAGAGAAGUAGAAGAGCUUAACCAAAUCUUCACUAAUUCAUCCAUCUAAGGUCAGACGCCGCAUCCUAGUCAAGUGCUACACGGGACUAACGGGGAUCCAACUUAAGAGAGAAGUUAAGGGCGUCAACCUACUUUCUAGUUUGUCAAGCCAACCGUAGUGCCUCCCUUCAGGGUUUCUUUUGGGUCUAACUCUAAGGCUUUUGGGUGAAUAUGAACUUACCCUUUUGUAAAGUGAUCAAGUGACUUGUAGCAAAGUGUUUUUGGUCUUACGCUUGUUUGGGUAAUGUGUUUGCUUUUGGUACAUGUAUAUGAUGUGUUAAAGGUAUGGGAUGAUUGUAC